CAUUUAUACAAUAUGGUACGCAAAAAAAUAGAUUCUCGAUUAAGAACGUUAAUAGAAAAUGGCGUUAGAACAAAUCAAAGAUCCCUUGUUAUUCUAGUGGGGGAUCGAGGGCGUCAUCAAGUUGUUAAUCUUCAUUACAUCCUUUCUAAAUCCGUAGUAAAAGCUCGG